GCGGGAGUAACUCAGUUGGUAGAGUACCUGCUUCCCAAGCAGGCUGCCGCGGGUUCGAGUCCCGUCUCCCGCU
rnacentral:tRNA from 1 species